GAUGAACGCUAGCUACAGGCUUAACACAUGCAAGUCGAGGGGCAGCAUGGUCUUAGCUUGCUAAGGCCGAUGGCGACCGGCGCACGGGUGAGUAACACGUAUCCAACCUGCCGUCUACUCUUGGACAGCCUUCUGAAAGGAAGAUUAAUACAAGAUGGCAUCAUGAGUCCGCAUGUUCACAUGAUUAAAGGUAUUCCGGUAGACGAUGGGGAUGCGUUCCAUUAGAUAGUAGGCGGGGUAACGGCCCACCUAGUCUUCGAUGGAUAGGGGUUCUGAGAGGAAGGUCCCCCACAUUGGAACUGAGACACGGUCCCAACUCCUACGGGAGGCAGCAGUGAAGAAUAUUGGNUCAUGGGCGAGAGCCUGAACCAGCCCAGUAGCGUGAAGGAUGACUGCCCUAUGGGUUGUAAACUUCUUUUUAUAAAGAAAUAAGUCGGGUAUGGAUACCCGUUUGCAUGUACUUUAUGAAAUAAGAUCGGCUAACUCCCGUGCAACAGCCGCGGUAAUACGGAAGAUCCGAGCGUUAUCCGAUUUAUUGGGGUUUAAAGGGAGCGAAAAUGGAUGUUUAGUCAGUUGUGAAAGUUUGCGGCUCAACCGUAAAAUUGCAGUUGAUACUGGAUAUCUUGAGUGCAGUUGAGGCAGGCGGAAUUCGUGGUGUAGCGGUGAAAUGCUUAGAUAUCACGAAGAACUCCGAUUGCGAAGGCAGCCUGCUAAGCUGCAACUGACAUUGAGGCUCGAAAGUGUGGGUAUCAAACAGGAUUAGAUACCCUGGUAGUCCACACGGUAAACGAUGAAUACUCGCUGUUUGCGAUAUACGGCAAGCGGCCAAGCGAAAGCGUUAAGUAUUCCACCUGGGGAGUACGCCGGCAACGGUGAAACUCAAAGGAAUUGACGGGGGCCCGCACAAGCGGAGGAACAUGUGGUUUAAUUCGAUGAUACGCGAGGAACCUUACCCGGGCUUAAAUUGCAGAUGAAUUACGGUGAAAGCCGUAAGCCGCAAGGCAUCUGUGAAGGUGCUGCAUGGUUGUCGUCAGCUCGUGCCGUGAGGUGUCGGCUUAAGUGCCAUAACGAGCGCAACCCUUGUUGUCAGUUACUAACAGGUCAUGCUGAGGACUCUGACAAGACUGCCAUCGUAAGAUGUGAGGAAGGUGGGGAUGACGUCAAAUCAGCACGGCCCUUACGUCCGGGGCUACACACGUGUUACAAUGGGGGGUACAGAGGGCCGCUACCACGCGAGUGGAUGCCAAUCCCCAAAACCUCUCUCAGUUCGGACUGGAGUCUGCAACCCGACUCCACGAAGCUGGAUUCGCUAGUAAUCGCGCAUCAGCCACGGCGCGGUGAAUACGUUCCCGGGCCU
rnacentral:rRNA from 1 species